AAAAAAAAAAAAAAAAAAGUUUUCAGCCGAAUGUGGAGGUGCACACCUGUAAUUCGAGCACUUUAGAGGGUAUGGCAGGAAGAGCACGUGAGUUCGAGGCCAGCCUGGGCUACAUAGUUCAAGUGCUUUGAUGUAUCCUGCUUACAAAAGAGGCUGUUGCCUGCAUAACUCCAGUGGAACCACCAGCAUCGGGAAGCUAACCCCACGCAUUGCAACUGUCUGCUCAGACCAGUCAGGUUCUCCAGUCGCCCUCAUGCUCUGCAGUGAGAGGAGCUGGUUGGAAGUCACAUGUUGCAUUUAGUUGCCACAUCGCCUCCGUCCCCUUUAAGCAGGGCCAGUUCUGCGGCCUGUCCUUGACUUUCAUGACCUAGGACCCCAUCCCCCUAUGCUGAGGAUGGACCCAGGGCCUUGCAUGUGCAAGCGCCCUGCGCUGAGCUACACCCCAGCCUGCCUCAGAGCUUCUGCCUUGGAGCUUCGCAGGAUGCAGGGGCUGUUCUGUAAUGCGCUCCUCACUGGCUUGGCCCUCCCGAGUUCCUUGUGGUUUGACUGCGCAGGAAAAUCCCAGCAGGGAGGCUGUGCUCCUCCUGGUCCCUGCCGAUGGUUGCCCUUGGACCACUCCAUAAGGAGCUACCUGCCAGCUUCCCCUUUGUGGCGUUUUUUCCUCCUUUGCAAUUAGUCAGUGCUUGAGGGGAUAUGCUUUGCAACUGUGUAAAUAUCUUAAAUGUCAUCAAACUUUCAA